rnacentral:misc_RNA from 1 species
AAAAUGUUGGUUUUGAAGGGAAAUAUUGUCUCUGUUGGCUCGAAGUCCUAAAUGCUAUUCAGUAUAAAUUCUGAAAGUUCGAUUACUUUAUUUUAACUAUUACACUGGUGGCAUCAACAUUUGAUUGUGUUAUUUUUUUUUUCCUUUUUUAUUCCUUCGUUCCUGUGAUUGAUUGUUUGAGGUUUUCUUUAAAGAAUGAUAUCGGGUCACUCCAAAACUAUUAUGUAUUUGUGAACUGAAAUAUGUGGUUUAAAAAUGUUCACAGACUGUCUUUUUGAUCCUCGAAUAGCAAUGCUAAUUCGGGGUUUUUGUUUUCUGUUGUUAUUUUUUACUUUUAACAUAUCAAAUAAUUUACUUGGGAGAUACUUGCACCUUUUUCUCUUCUAAAAGUUGUUCUCGUAUCAAGUUCUGGUUGUUUCUGAAAUUGGCAUGAUGUUUGUUUAAUUGAGUCAAUUGCUUUAUACCAAUGAGUUGCUCACUUGAGGAAAAAAUUAAUUAUAAGUCUGAAUUUAGUGAUGGGUCUAUGUUCGGGCAGUUCUUUUGAAGAUAUAAAAUUUAUUUAUGAUUGUUGACUUAAAUGUGAAUUAUCCAUCUUGAAUAAUUUGUGCUUAUCAUUUGAAAUAAAAACCUUCAAAUGUUUAUAUUUUAUGCAUGUGAUCUGAAAUCCAUUGAUAUUUUGGCUCAAGUCAUGACAUAAAGUCCUGUUAUUGUUUCACUUUCAUCAACAGAGAAUAUAUACUUUAGAUAUUAUUGGGCUAUUUUGAGAUUAGUUCAUGAGACUGAAGCAUAU